GAGCCUUACUCAUGCAUCCUGCCUCUUCUCUCGGACCUCUGUGACCCCUACCCAUGCCGCCUUCUGACUUGAUUAGAUUUUGCUUGGGUUCUAACGCUAACGAUCCUUGAACUUAACGGGAAUCCUGAAUUCUUUUUACAUUUUUCCCCAUCUCUUCGGGCCACAAACCUUCUAGCCUUUCAAAUGAAAUCAGGUUGAAUGGUGGCAUCUCUCAUAGCUUUGUCUGACCACACCGUCAACUGCUAACAUGAUUCUCCUGACGUCGCAGAAACAACCGCAUCCUAAAGUGUCAACUCAUUGCCCCAGAGGAGCAUUUAUUCUGACAGCCGAGCCUUUUCACCCCACCCCCACAAUCUCAGUUCUCAACUUUGACUCACUUUAACUUUGUACGUCACAAAUUUCUUCUUCCAAGGACUCGAGGAAGCAAAGCUGAAAGCAAAUGAAUGGGGCAGCCAUGAAUUUUGUGCAGAUGGAGAGAAGAGAGGGUGGGGAGGUGGGGGCUGGCUGGAGAAGCUUGCUGUGGACAGGGGAUUAUCUCUCAUCAGCAGAUGCGUCCAUUUCAACCCCCACCUCCACCCCCCGUAAAGACUGUGCCAGACUGAAAGCCAAAGGCCCCCAGUGUGAUCCCAACAACAGAGGUGUAUGUGGGUAUGUUUGUGUUAUGAACCCUCCCUCAAAACUUUGGGCCAUGUUUCAUCUUUACAGGCACAACUAUUCAUUCAGAGCCAGCCCGUCUGGCUGUGUGUUUUUCUUGGUUGGAAUUAUUAACCCCACUUCCUGUUGUCUGGAGACAUGCGGGUUGUGGAGAAGCAUCUUGAGUGGAUGGAUGGCAAAGAAGACAAAUGAACCACUGUUGCCACGAAUGGGAGCCCUAACAAGGUGGUGAAAUGGUAUGGAUGAAGAUCCAGAAGACGAUGGAAGUCUGGAGAGGUCUGGUCAGCAUUGAGUGCUGCCCUGUCUGCUGCUUCAGGAAGAGGAGGAAAUGGAGCUCCCAGUCCUUUACAGGAUUUUUUCCUGGGAAGCUGAGGUGCUUUAAAAAAUACUCAAUCAUCACUAUCAGCUUUACGGAUAUUUUGUGUUAUAUGCUGAUAUUACAGCUUUUCCCAAAAUUCAAUAGGAGCUUUGAUCUACGCUCACGUUUGUGGUAGACACACUCGAGAAGUGGCCCCCAUGACUUCCUUCCCCAGUCCUGGAGUUCACACCCUCGAGUGUGGGAAGACCUGGGACUUCUUCUAACCAACCGACCACCACACAGACGGCCAGAUGUGCAAGGUUACAACCACAUAAGACUUUAGCAUCAGUUUGGCUGGAGUCUGGCUCUCUCUGCCUUGCUGGCUUUGAGGACGCAAGUGAUCCUCUUGGAUAACCCCAUGUGGCAGGAACU